GAUUUUCAAUGAUAAACUGGAAAGCAGACAGGGCUGGAGCGGAGCUGAGGGGAAGGAAGGCAUAACUUGGGGAAAGUAGAGAGGCACGAACCGAGAUUCAUUGUGAGGAGGAUGGAAGCUGCCGGGUAAAAAGACCUUGGGGUACAGAACUCCCCAACAUUUGGGAAGUCAAAUCUGGUCCCGGAAGUCCGGUGCCAGCUUCUCAGCCACGGGCCACCAGGAACGCUCUGAGCAUCGAGCCCUUCACGUUCCUAACCCGGAAGGUUUCGAUCUGGCCCAAAAGUCCUGACUUGAGGUCUCUAGGAACUCAAAGAGCAGCUUGUCCUGCCGGGAAUUGGAGCAAGUCCCCUGAAGGGGAUGUAGGACGACAGCCAGUAUUUUCAAGAGCCUGGGCGGCCAGCCGCGCUGCAACUGUAAGACGUGAUUCUAUUUGACUUUCCAAAUCAAAGUGCAUUGAUUGGCGCCUAAAGAGUUCACGGCACAUAACUGUCUUAAUUAAACCUGCUAUAAACAGACACAUCACUUCUUGCACAGAAAACUUGGGGAAAUGGCAGAGGGUCUGGCCGAAACCAGGCUAGAGCGAUGCUCUUAAAAAAAAAAAAAAAAAAAAAAAAAAAAAAAAGCGCAAAGCAGGCAAAACCAGAAAAAA
rnacentral:lncRNA from 1 species